UACGUAGGGGGCAAGCGUUGUCCGGAUUUAUUGGGCGUAAAGAGCGUGUAGGCGGCUAGGUAGGUCCGUUGUGAAAACUCGAGGCUCAACCUCGAGACGCCGAUGGAAACCAUCUGGCUAGAGUCCGGAAGAGGAGAGUGGAAUUCCCGGUGUAGCGGUGAAAUGCGCAGAUAUCGGGAAGAACACCCGUGGCGAAGGCGGCUCUCUGGGACGGUACUGACGCUGAGACGCGAAAGCGUGGGGAGCGAACAGG
rnacentral:rRNA from 1 species